UUAGGUCAUCUAUGCAUGUCGUAUCACUCAGAUUAAUGCUUCGAUGUCGUUAUGUACCUGAAAUCUAUAAAAAACACUCCACAACGACAUCAAAUGGACCCCGACCUGGUCCGUGACACUAACUCGAGAUAGAAGUUCAAAAAUGCAUAAAACAACUUGAACUUCUACCUAAAACAAUACAAUUAUGCAUGAAAUAUCACUUAAAUGAGUGCGACAAAUGUGAAAAAUCUAGCGUUGUCGCCCGACCCAGGUCACCUAGCACUUUGCUACACGGGCCCUUAUAUAGGUCCCCCGGUAGUUAGCGACCUCAUCCACCCUAAAAGAUGGUGAAUCAAUCUACUCUGACACCACUUCUUCCCGGACUCUGUACACUUCAUCCUCGUGAUACCAUUGGCCCUCUCCCUUGGCUUCGAAUGAUGGAUAUGGCACUACUCAUCAAAUGGUAAUUUCUCAACGUCCAAUGUAUUAUGUCUGACCCAUCUUGACCGUUGGCGAAGCUGAACACCUAGGCAUCACCGCUAGACAGCUCACUACGUCACUCGGUAUAGUACCUCCCAUUCCUGCACAAACUCAGCUUCUUACUUUGUUGUUUAUUCCACUGCGGCCUUCUUACCCGCCAGGAGCUUCUUGACCUGCUCGGUUGGGAUGUCAUAGCGAACCCUACUUGCCUGGUCUGUCUUCAAGAGGAGGAUUUCGUGGAACACCUCCUCUUCAUUUUCCCACUUGCACACCAUCUUGGCGCCCUCACUAGACUUUGUCCCCUCCCUCUCCUAGAGCUUCAUCAAGCAGUCAUAUGGCGUGAACUCUUGUGCACCUCCCCCGAGUUUGGCCCCCUCUUAGUUAUGUUGUGGCGGAGGAUCUGGAAAUCACGGAACUUGGUUGCAUUCCCGAACGCCGACAACUUCAACCGUUAGUUCUGCAUUGACAGUUCCUCCGCCAGGUCUCAGAGCUCACCCUCCUCCAACCACCUUCGUGAUCGCCUAUGGUCGUAACCCCAGCUGUCCUACUUGUCUCUUAGACGGGUCCAAUGGCCCCAAGGAUCAAAAUUAAUGUAGAUGGGGCGGUGUCACCUAUGGUGGGUAGAGCGGUGGGGUUUAUGUUUUGAGAUACGGGUGGGAGACUGUUGCACGGCAUGUGGCGGACCUACCCACUCCUUGACCCCUUUGUUAUGGAGCUCCUAAUGGUCUGUCAUUCUUGUGUGUUGUGUUUCUGGCAGGGCUAACGGAAAGUCAACAUUGAAGGGGACGCAGAGUUGGUGUUAUCCCGACUUUCCCAAUGGAUUACCCGUUGCAUGGCUGGCGACAUCAUCAUUGAAGAGAUUAUUCCCUUUCUGAGGGCAUGCCCUUGGAUUCAUUUGUAGGUUGUCCGAUGUUUUGCGAAUAGAGUUGUCCAUUCAGUGGCGCGACAUCUCUUUCGUAUCUCCCUGGUUGUGAUGAGGCUAAUCUCACAACCUUGGCUGAUCUUUAGCAUGUCUUGUAUCUUGGUUUCUCCCGUCCGGGCUUUUUUGGGGGUGGCAAAGCCUCCUUCACGUGUGCGAGCUUCUGUUCCAAUGUCUCUGGUGGCAGGUUGAGGAUGGUCGAUUCUAUUCCAACCAUGCCAG
rnacentral:lncRNA from 1 species